GCCGAUUGGUCUCUGCUUUUCCUUGCCUGUGGCAACUGACAGCACCUCCCAGCCUAGCAGGCCGGCUGCCUGCUCCCCCAGCCAGUCGGUGGGUCUGGGCACUGCAGCAGGCUGGGCUCUGUCCCAGCACUUGUCUGGGAGAAAAGUGGUGUACUCACCCAGAGAGAAUCUCUUUUUCCACCUUCCUUCUUUCUCGAUCUCUCUGUGUGCUUUUGCGUUUCUUUUCUUUCUUUCUUUCUUUUUUUUUUUUUCUUACUUAAUUAUAUUCCUAAUCCUGGAUGAAGUUGCUGGAUUCUGCAGCACAAGUCUUCAUGAACAAGCAGCACCGCUCAGAGAUUUCACGGCAUUCAAAGGUCACAGAACUGCCACUAUGGUUAAAUGUCUUGUUUAAUGGUUGAGAGGUGUGGUGAACUCUUGUUUGAAAACCCUGAUCAGAAUGUCAAAUGUGUUUGCAUGCUAGCAGUUCCAUCCUUUGGGCCCUGACGUUGAUUUUCCUCAUCUUGGUGCCUGAAGAGCCAGAGUGAUUCCUUUUGUCCCAUUGCCCUGACCAUGUGCAGUGAUACCCGCAGUGCAGGAGGUGGAAGCCCCCGCUCUUCAGGUAUCAGAAGGGGUG